rnacentral:rRNA from 1 species
UACGAAGGGGGCGAGCGUUGUUCGGAAUUACUGGGCGUAAAGGGCGCGCAGGCGGCCCUUGAAGUCAGGCGUGAAAGCCCCGGGCUCAACCUGGGAGGUGCGCUUGAUACUCGAGGGCUUGAGUGCGGGAGAGGAGAGUGGAAUUCCUGGUGUAGCGGUGAAAUGCGUAGAUAUCAGGAGGAACACCGGUGGUGUAGACGGCUUUCUGGACCGUAACUGACGCUGAAACACGAAAGCGUGGGUAGCAAACAGG